GAGGAUCAGAGGAUCAGAAGAUCAGAGGAUCAGAAGAUCUGAGGAUCAGAAGAUCUGAAGACCAGAAGCUCUGAGGGACCAGAGGCUCUGAAGGUUCAGAAGCUCUGAAGGUCCAGAAGCAGAAGUUACGAAGGUCAGAGGAUCCAAGCAUCCCUCUGACUCUGAUCACCAAGCUUCACAAGUUCCAACACGAAGCAUAACUCUGAUCAGAAGUCAAUGGUUAAAGGCAAAUGUCUCUAUCGAGAAGUACAAGAGCAGUGUACUAUUCUGAAAAGCCUACCUACCAAGGUUCAGCCACAGCAGGUUCUGGAAGUUCCAGAAAUGCCCUCCAGCAGAGUGAAUCUUAGUGGUGAUUCCUUUAGGAGAUCAAGGUUGAUCGGAUCCUAGAGAAGACUAAGAGAGUGAAUCUUAGUGAUAGCUAAGUCAGUGUAUUGUUAGUCACUUGUAGGUUUCAAGUGCAGUUGUAACAAUUAUCUGAUUAGUGGAUUGCCUUCAUUCUAAGAAGGAAGAAAUCACCUUAACGGGUGGACUGGAUUAGCUUGAGGGAUUUAUCAAGUGAACCAGGAUAAAAUACUUGUGUGAUUUUCUCUUCUCUCUAUCUUUAUCCGCUGCACCAUCUAUCUUAGAGAAACCGAAAAGAUUUACUUUAAAUCUUAAGGGGAAAGUUUUUAUAUUAAAAACACUAUUCAACCCCCCCUUCUAGUCGUUUUUCACACCUUCAAUUGGUAUCAGAGCGCAAGUUCUGAUUACCACACUUAACAGUGUUCAGUAGAUCCGGGCCAGUGUGAAAAACUCAUGGAUUCCACCACUACUACGAGCAAAUAUCAAUACAGUGCAAGACCACCUAUCUUUGAUGGUCAGAGAUUUGAUUUUUGGAAAGAUAGAACCAAAAGCUUCUUUCUUGGCUUUGAUCCUGAUCUUUGGGAUUUUGUUGUUGAUGGCUACACCCCUCAUGUUGAUGAACAUGGUGUAAAGAUCCCAAGGGAGAAGAUGAGUGAAGAUCAAAAGAAGAAGUUCAGAGAUCAUCACCGAUCAAGAGCUAUUCUGCAAAGUGCCAUUUCAUAUGAAGAAUAUGAGAAAAUUACUGAUCGUGAUUCCGCCAAGGGCAUCUUUGAAUCCUUGAAGAUGUCUCAUGAAGGAAACAAGAAAGUGAAAGAAUCAAAGGCACUGUCUUUGAUCCAGAAAUAUGAAUUCUUCCAAAUGGAAACUGACGAAUCCAUUGAAGAUAUGUUUUCCAGAUUCCAGUUGAUUAUUGCUGGAAUAAGACCCCUCAGCAAUAGCUACACCACUGUGGAUCAUGUCAUGAGGAUCCGUAGAGGUCUUCCUGAAAGCUGGAUGCCUUUGAUAACUUCCUUGGAGCUAACUAGAGAUGUUGAGCAGAUGAGUUUGGAAGAACUCAUAAGCAUACUGAAGUGUCAUGAACUAAAGCGUGCUGAACAUCAAGAUCACAAGAAGAAGUCUAUUGCCUUGAAAUCCAAAUCUGAAAAGGCUAAGGCUCUCCAAGCAGAAGCAGAAGAAUCUGAAGAAGCCUCUGAAGAUUCUGAUGAAGAUGAGCUAACUCUGAUAUCCAGAAAGCUCAACUGCAUCUGGAAGCACAGGCAGAGCAAAUUCAAAGGCUCAUCAAAGGACAAAAAGUCAAAGAAGCAUUUCAAGACCAAGAAGAGUCUGAUGGUGACUUUUGAUGAAUCAGAGUCAGAGGAUGUUGACUCUGAUGGUGAAGUCCAAGGACUCAUGGCUAUUGUCAAAGACAAAGGAGCAGAGUCAAAGGAAGCUGUUGACUCUGACUCAGCAUCAGAAGGAAAUCCAGACUCUGACGAUGAAAAUGAGGUAUUUGAUUCUUUCUCAACCUCUGAACUUAAAGAUGCUUUGUCUGAAAUUAUGGAUAAAUAUAACUCUCUCUUGACUAAGCAUAAAAGGUUGAAAAAGAAUUUCUCUGCUGCCUCUGAAACUUCUGUUGAACAUGAGAAAAUCAUAUCUGAUUUGAAAAAUGAUAACCAUGCUUUAGUUAAUUCUAACUCUGUGCUUAAGAAUCAAAUUGCUAAGUUAGAAGAAGUUAUUGCCUGCGAUGCCUCUGAUAGUAAGCAUGAAUCUAAGUAUGAAAAAUCUUUUCAAAGAUUCCUGGCUAAAAGCGUAGAUAGAAGCUUAAUGGCUUCAUUGAUCUAUGGCGUGAGCAGAAAUGGAAUGUGUGGCAUUGGGUAUUCUAAACCAAUUAGAAAUGAGCCCUCUGUGCCUAAAGCUAAAUCUUUGUAUGAAUGCUUUGUUCCCUCUGGUACCAUAUUGCCUGACCCUGUACCUGCUGAAGCUGCUAAACCUCCUCUUAUAAAGGGAUCUUUCUCCAUGUCUAAAUAUCAUGCAAAAAUUCCUGUAUAUUAUCCUGUUGAAAGACCCAAAGUUGUCAGAACUUCUGGGCUAACUAACAAGAAAGGACCCAGAAAGUGGGUACCUAGGGAUAAGAUUAUAUAUGUUGCAGAUAUCUUCAAUAGGUCCAUCGAAACUCCAACCAUGGAACUUGGACAGUGGAUGCAAGCAACACAUGACGGGAGAAAGGCAUAUGUCCCAAGAUCCAAAACUUGAACCUGAAGGUGAAGUUAAUCUUGGAGGCAUCAGUAGAGUAAGAUUUGGUCAAGUCAAAGCUAGCUGAAAAAGCUUGUAGAGAUGAGCAUGACCGUUUCAGAAAGAAACAAAGACUCAGAACUUGACGAACCAGAAGCAACAACAUCAGAAGAUGCUACUACAACUUCUGACUUGCGUCAUCAGAAGAAGAGUAGGUUCCUAGCUUCUCAUUCUGGAGUAUCUGAAGAUGAAAUUUUGUCCAGAACGGAGAUGUCACCAGAACCACACUUCUACUCUCAUCAGAAGAUAUGCUAAUCAGAAGCCAAGUAUCCCUUGGUAUUCCUUCUGAGGGGGAGUAUUUCGUCUUUUGCUCUUACUAUUUUUUCCCACCUUCAUUCUUUUUGCUUAUGACAAAAAGGGGGAGAACUUAUAGUAUCUUGACAACUCCUAUAUUAUUUAGCUCAGAAUCUAGAUAUUACUAACAUUGAUAUUAAGUAUUAGAUUCAGGGGGAGCUUAGCUCAGAAUCAAGCACGAGCCUUGGAUUCAGAAGGAGCAAGAUAAACUAUACACAUCAGGAUAAGUUUUAACUCUGAUACCUUAUACUCUGAGUGUAUUCAGUUUAUUUGUUUAGAGUUGUUCAUCAAAAUACAUGGUUUUGUCAUCAUCAAAAAGGGGGAGAUCUUAAGAUCAAGAUUUGGUCAUGUGGUACAACUCUAUGUUUUGAUGAUAACAAGUAUUUAUUUGUGGAUGAACAACUAUGAUACUCUAAUGUUUGUCUUGAGUGUUUUGACAAACAGGUUCUGAUUCUGACACCAGAAGAUAUAUUCGUCAGAAGUUCUGAAGAUCAGAGGAUCUGAAGAUCAGAGGAUCUGAGGAUCAGAGGAUCAGAGGAUCAGAAGAUCAGAGGAUCAGAGGAUCAGAAGAUCAGAGGAUCAGAAGAUCUGAGGAUCAGAAGAUCUGAAGACCAGAAGCUCUGAGGGACCAGAGGCUCUGAAGGUUCAGAAGCUCUGAAGGUCCAGAAGCAGAAGUUACAAAGGUCAGAGGAUCCAAGCAUCCCUCUGACUCUGAUCACCAAGCUUCACAAGUUCCAACACGAAGCAUAACUCUGAUCAGAAGUCAAUGGUUAAAGGCAAAUGU
rnacentral:lncRNA from 1 species